UUGUCUCAAAGAUUAAGCCAUGCAUGUCUAAGCACAAACUUUAACACAGUGAAGCUGCGAAUGGCUCAUUAGGUCACCCAUAAUUUCUUGGAUCGUACAAUCCUACUUGGAUAACUGUGGUAAUUCUAGAGCUAAUACAUGCGAGCAAGCUCCGACCCUUCGGGGAAAGAGCGCGUUUAUUAGAUCAAAACCAAUCGGGCCUUCGGGUUCGUACGUUUGGUGACUCUGGAUAACUUUGGGCGGAUCGCACGGGCUUGACCCGGCGACGUAUCUUUCAAGUGUGUGCCCUAUCAACUUUCGAUGGUACGCGAUAUGCCUACCAUGGUUGUAACGGGUAACGGGGAAUCAGGGUUC
rnacentral:rRNA from 1 species